GAAAAGGUGGGGAGUCGGCGUGGGGACGGCGGGCUCAGGCCUCCUGCUCCGCUUUGUGGAGAUGUCGGACGUCCCCUGCCCAUCCCCUCUAUUCAGUGACUUUCUUCUGCGACUAGUGUUUAAAGUCUGUGCAUCACUCCGUUCCCUGCACACAGCCGGGAGCUGUUUUCGCCAGGACACCUCAGCGAGGCACAGAGGCCCGGCGUGUGCCUCCGUUCCAGCAGCUCCAGCAGGAAGACGGGACGCCAGCAGACUGAGUGGAAAUGAUGGAAUCUGUUGCCCGAAACAAACUUCGAUGUGUCCGCCCUUUCCUCAGCCCUGUCCCUAAGUUUGCAUGGAACCCCGACUGUAGGUGGACCAGAGGAAGCGGGGAACCACUGAAGCCAGCGUCACGGUGGCAGCACAGGAAGGCAAGGCGAUCCCUGUCGGGGGCACAGCACGGUGCAGUGGCACUGAGGAGGCAUCUGGAUUCACGGUCACUCUGGGAUGACAUCCGUCUUCCACAGCGACGUCUGCUCUGGAUGGUGGGUUUCUAGGGAAGACACCCCCCACCUAGUAUUUGCUGCAGCAACCUGGGCUUGUGACUCAGGAGCACACUGCCACACGUGUUCUGCAUCUCAUCCUCAUGUCUGCAAUGCUCAGCAGCGCUUUCCCUGGGACCUGGGAGAAUUUGGUUACUCUUCCCGUAGCUGCUGACAUCUCCAGGACCCGGAAGGCUGCUCCCCUGGCCCAGGGGCCUGGACACUUUGAAGAGCAAUUGGUCCUCUGUGGGUAGAUCUGCAUAGAUUGCCAGUGUCCCAGAACUCCAGGUGGAAAGUCAGCAUCAGCCUCUUAUUCUUGGAUUUCCUGAAAUGUAUUUGAGAGCUCAAUUGUUUUCAUAGGACAGACAUAGCGGUGAUGGACUAUCUUUGUAAGAUCUUUAAUAUCAAACCUCCUGUUCACCUUUGUAUCCCUUGCACUUAGCACAGUGGCUGACAUUCUAGGUGCUCAGGAAAGUAUCUGUUGAAUAAAUGAGUUUCUCCAGCUAUCUUCUGGGGAGAGUACGUGACAUCUGUUAGAUGGCAUGUCUUAGGGGUUCCA